rnacentral:rRNA from 1 species
CUCCUACGGGAGGCAGCAGUGAGGAAUAUUGGUCAAUGGGCGCAGGCCUGAACCAGCCAAGUAGCGUGAAGAAUGACUGCCCUAUGGGUUGUAAACUUCUUUUAUAUGGGAAUAAAGUUUUCCACGUGUGGAAUUUUGUAUGUACCAUAUGAAUAAGGAUCGGCUAACUCCGUGCCAGCAGCCGCGGUAAUACGGAGGAUCCGAGCGUUAUCCGGAUUUAUUGGGUUUAAAGGGAGCGUAGGUGGACAGUUAAGUCAGUUGUGAAAGUUUGCGGCUCAACCGUAAAAUUGCAGUUGAUACUGGCUGUCUUGAGUACAGUAGAGGUGGGCGGAAUUCGUGGUGUAGCGGUGAAAUGCUUAGAUAUCACGAAGAACUCCGAUUGCGAAGGCAGCUCACUGGACUGCAACUGACACUGAUGCUCGAAAGUGUGGGUAUCAAACAGGAUUAGAUACCCUGGUAGUCCACACAGUAAACGAUGAAUACUCGCUGUUUGCGAUAUACAGUAAGCGGCCAAGCGAAAGCAUUAAGUAUUCCACCUGGGGAGUACGCCGGCAACGGUGAAACUCAAAGGAAUUGACGGGGGCCCGCACAAGCGGAGGAACAUGUGGUUUAAUUCGAUGAUACGCGAGGAACCUUACCCGGGCUUAAAUUGCAUUUGAAUAUAUUGGAAACAGUAUAGCCGUAAGGCAAAUGUGAAGGUGCUGCAUGGUUGUCGUCAGCUCGUGCCGUGAGGUGUCGGCUUAAGUGCCAUAACGAGCGCAACCCUUAUCUUUAGUUACUAACAGGUCAUGCUGAGGACUCUAGAGAGACUGCCGUCGUAAGAUGUGAGGAAGGUGGGGAUGACGUCAAAUCAGCACGGCCCUUACGUCCGGGGCUACACACGUGUUACAAUGGGGGGUACAGAAGGCAGCUACCUGGUGACAGGAUGCUAAUCCCAAAAGCCUCUCUCAGUUCGGAUCGAAGUCUGCAACCCGACUUCGUGAAGCUGGAUUCGCUAGUAAUCGCGCAUCAGCCAUGGCGCGGUGAAUACGUUCCCGGGCCUUGUACACACCGC